rnacentral:rRNA from 1 species
AUUGAACGCUGGCGGCAUGCCUUAUACAUGCAAGUCGAACGGAAGCGCGGGCUUCGGCCUGGCGGCGAGUGGCGAACGGGCGAGUAAUGCACAGGAACGUGCCCAGUCGUGGGGGAUAGCCCGGCGAAAGCCGGCUUAAUAUAGUAUCCGAUCUGAGGGUGAACGCGGGGGAUCGAAAGGCCUAGAGGUUUUGGAGGGCCCGAUGUCGGAUUAGCUAGUUGGUGCGGUAAAGGCUUACCAAGGCGACGAUCCGUAGCAGAUCUGAGAAGACGACCUGCCACACUGGGACUGAGACACGGCCCAGACUCCUACGGGAGGCAGCAGUGGGGAAUUUUGGGCAAUGGGGGCAACCCUGAUCCAGCCAUGCCGCGUGCGGGAAGAAGGCCUUCGGGUUGUAAACCGCUUUUAUUCGGGAAGAAAACCUCUGUGCGAAUACCCCGAGAUGAUGACGGUACCUAAAGAGUAAGCACCGGCUAACUACGUG